rnacentral:lncRNA from 1 species
AUGACAAUAUUUGGGCCCCCAAAAUGGGUGUUUCUUCCCAUGUGUCACUUUUGCUUACAGAAGAAACCCUUUUCCAGACUCCUUAUUUUGCAGUGCCCAGGCCUGAACCCCCGCCGCCCCCACCCGGACCCCUGCCCACGGGCGCCAGCUGAGCAGCUCCCAGCACCUCCAGCCUGUCACAGGCGCCGUGCUCCACUGAGGGGAACCUGGCCACCACGCCCACUUUCACAGGACAUGCUCCAGAGGGCUUUCCCCAAACCACCUCCUUUCAUUGUCCAGUGCUCACCUCCUCCUGUCUGCCCACCUGCCGUCCCUGUCUAUUGUGUGGGUGCUUCCAGGAGCAAGAUGAUGUAAAGAGGUUUCCUCUGGACUCAACGAAGCACAGCCAGACAGGACACAAUGCUGGCCACUUUCCUGGUGAGGACACUUCCUGAAAAGUGCUGACAGUCUGGCAGAUGGGAGACCAGUCCCUUAGGGAGCAGCGAACGCUCCCAGAGCCUCCCAGCCACCCUGCUGGGCCUCUGCCCUGGUCAUCAGGGCUGCUCCAGGUCCCUGAACCAGAAAGUCGUCUGCCGUCUGUCUGGCCAGACCAAAACAAUUUGCUGGAUCAGGAUUCGUGGUGGUUCUUUGCCCCAUUCUCACACAGGCCUCUGGCACAGAGAAGGGAAUUCACAAAUUUGCCUUAGUUUGAUCUUUGUGACUAAGCAAGAAAGAAGUGUUGGCUUUACCAUUUCUCCAAUCUAGAUUACUAAUAUUCUCACUUAGCACCUCAUUAAUAAUCCAGUGCUCCGAGUUUGGGGUUUAUUUGAGAAAGGAGAAAGAUGAUGAGUAAGUGAAGAUGUGAAAAAUAAGUGUUAUUGGGAUAUAUAUGUAUAUAUAUAUAAAAUAAGAUUAAUAAGUGAAUUUUAUGAAUUUAUAGAAAGAAGAAGAAAGACUGGAUACGUACAGAUCUGGUUUUCAUUCUGGCUCCCACAAGUCCUAGCGGAGUGACUUACUACAGGUUGGUUAACUUCGUCAACAUCAGUCAACAGCCUUAUCACUGAAAUGAAAGUGAUGAUAGCUACGUCUGAGGGGUGUGAAGGAUUGUGAGAGAGGACGUCUAUCGAGCACGAGGCAUAGAGGGAUUGAACAGCAAUGUUAACUCCCUUUCCUCUCUCUUUAACCCAUCAGCCCAAGUGAAGAUAGGUUUUUUUAAAAGUUUUUCAAUUAAUCAACAAAUGCACUUGAGGUAUUAAAACAUCAUUGUGACCUUCAAAUUAUAAUCUAGCUGGCAGUAUAAUGCUAAGUCACAUAGAAAAUAAGAGAACAAUACAAGUUUGCCAUUUAAUUAAGUAAUCAAUUGUGUAAUGUGUGAUUCUGGUUAUUGAAUUACAAUUGUUAAGAAAAAGGAAAUAAAAAUAGACUAAAGCUCUGUGAGGUCGCCCUA